rnacentral:Y_RNA from 1 species
GGCUGGUCUGAGUGCAGUGAUGAUUACAGCUACUUGAUCACCACCAGUUGUAGAUUUCUUUCUUCUUCUCCACCUCCACCACUUCACUUGAAUACCCUUAA